rnacentral:rRNA from 1 species
AUUGAACGCUGGCGGCAGGCCUAACACAUGCAAGUCGAGCGGAUGAAGGGAGCUUGCUCCUGGAUUCAGCGGCGGACGGGUGAGUAAUGCCUAGGAAUCUGCCUGGUAGUGGGGGAUAACGUCCGGAAACGGGCGCUAAUACCGCAUACGUCCUGAGGGAGAAAGUGGGGGAUCUUCGGACCUCACGCUAUCAGAUGAGCCUAGGUCGGAUUAGCUAGUUGGUGGGGUGAAGGCCUACCAAGGCAACGAUCCGUAACUGGUCUGAGAGGAUGAUCAGUCACACUGGAACUGAGACACGGUCCAGACUCCUACGGGAGGCAGCAGUGGGGAAUAUUGGACAAUGGGCGAAAGCCUGAUCCAGCCAUGCCGCGUGUGUGAAGAAGGUCUUCGGAUUGUAAAGCACUUUAAGUUGGGAGGAAGGGCAGUAAGUUAAUACCUUGCUGUUUUGACGUUACCAACAGAAUAAGCACCGGCUAACUUCGU